UUGUGACCCCAGGUCCGGGAUUACCCGCUGAGUUUAA
rnacentral:rRNA from 1 species